rnacentral:rRNA from 1 species
CCUACGGGAGUCAGCAGUGGGGACUAUUGCACAAUGGGGGAAACCCUGAUGCAGCGACGCCGCGUGAGUGAAGAAGUAUUUCGGUACGUAAAGCUCUAUCAGCAGGGAAGAAAAUGACGGUACCUGACUAAGAAGCCCCGGCUAACUACGUGCCAGCAGCCGCGGUAAUACGUAGGGGGCAAGCGUUAUCCGGAUUUACUGGGUGUAAAGGGAGCGUAGACGGCAGCGCAAGUCUGGAGUGAAAUCCCAUGGCUUAACCAUGGAACUGCUUUGGAAACUGUGCAGCUAGAGUGCAGGAGAGGUAAGCGGAAUUCCUAGUGUAGCGGUGAAAUGCGUAGAUAUUAGGAGGAACACCAGUGGCGAAGGCGGCUUACUGGACUGUAACUGACGUUGAGGCUCGAAAGCGUGGGGAGCAAACAGGAUUAGAUACCCGAGUAGUC